UGUCCCAUGGUGUAACUGGCAACACGCUUGUUUUUGGUACAAGAGAGUCUAGGUUCGAGCCCUAGUGGGACAA
rnacentral:tRNA from 1 species